rnacentral:tRNA from 1 species
AUCCGGUCGAGCAGCGCCGGAUGAUGCACGAGUCGCUGGAAGCGAUUCUGGCGCUGUUCCGCGCCGCACCCGGUG